rnacentral:rRNA from 1 species
UACGUAGGGGGCUAGCGUUGUCCGGAAUCAUUGGGCGUAAAGCGCGUGUAGGCGGUCCGGUAAGUCCGCUGUGAAAGUCGGGGGCUCAACCCUGAUGCCGGUGGAUACUGUCGGGCUUGAGUACGGAAGAGGCGAGUGGAAUUCCUGGUGUAGCGGUGAAAUGCGCAGAUAUCAGGAGGAACACCAAUUGCGAAGGCAGCUCGCUGGGACGUUACUGACGCUGAGACGCGAAAGCGUGGGGAGCAAACAGG